AACCAGCCUUUGACUAACACCUCAAAGUGAUUUGGACUCCAGUAGCUCUGAAGAAUUCUAUCAAGCUGUUCAUCAUGCUGAGCAAACCUUCAGAAAGACAGUAAGUUACUUGAAGCAGAAGCAACUAACUCUGUAAUGUUAUCCUGAUUCCUGGGAACUGAAAGAUACCUGCACACAGUAAUGGAGAUUUAAUCCAGUGACACUCUACCACUGAGCUGUACCCCAGCCAUUGUAAUUUUUUUAUAUUGAGACUGGGUCUUUCUAAGCUGCUUUGAAACUUGUGAUGCUCCUGUCUUAUCCUCCCUAGACCUGGGAUUACAGGAAAAGAAGAUAAUUUUCUGGAAUCUAGAAGGGAAGAAUUCAGAAUAUUAAGGGGUUGAAGAUUGCCAGGCUUAUAUUCCCACAUCCUAAUUCGACUGACAGCAUCACAUUCUUUCCCUAUCAAUUAUGUGGUUUUUCCUUGAAAACAAAUUGAUGUAUUUUUAAUCAUUAAUCUUACCGUUAUAAUUGUGGAACUUUGGAUAUUUCACUUUAGCCCUAAUUAGUUUUACUUUCUUCAUAUGUGAACAUUAUAUAUUAUAAUUUAGGUAAAUUGCAUCCUUUAAUUACUAAUCUGUUAUAAAUUAUAAUCUCUUUCUCCCUCUCUUGUUACACAUAUUAUCUACAUCAUUUCUAAAUCUUCUGUAUUAAUUUGUUUCUCUAAGUAUAGAACUUUGUUUUCUUUGUUUUAUAGAGUCAUUUCAGAUAUUACACUGUUUUAGCUGAAUCCUAUAAGAUCAUUGAUAAUAUGUGUAGUAACUCAAUCAAAAGUAUUUCAUGCUGCUGAAAUCUCAUAAUAUGGCAAAUUAAUGUUACCAUUAAUAUUUUAAUUUAUGGUAACAAUAGUAAUAUGUGUAAUUACUCACUAAGGAUCUAAAUUCAACACUGUAUAUUUGUGUAUCAAGAGCUUUAGGGCAUACCAAGUAGAUAAAAUGUGGUCCUUUAUAUAAAACUACUUGAUAGAGGGCUGGGGUUGUAGCUCAACAGUAGAGCGCUAGCCUAGCUUGUGUGAGGCCCUGGGUUUGAUCCUCAGUACCACAAAAAAAUAAAUAACAUAAAGGUAUUGUGUCCAACUACAACUAAAAAAAAUAAUAAAAGAAAUACUUGAUAGAAAACUAUAUAACUUUUUAUAUCAGUUUCAUUUGUAUUUCAUAAACUAGAUACAAGAGUGGUUAUAGUGAUGAGAGAUGUACUUUGGACUGAUUUCUUUCUGCAUUUUGGUAGGAUGAAAUAAAAGUAAAUUAAAUUUAUUAAAUUAUAAGGAAAAAUAUUGGAUUUGUGGAUAACAUAUACUUACUAUCAAGCAAUUAGAUGUCAAAAUAUUCCACUAGGACAAUGACACAAACUUGAAAUGACAGUUAAGCCCUUAUUUACAUACUGGACAGUGGAGGCAAGAGAAAAAGGUUGUGUUGGCUUCUUAUUGUCCCAUGUUUCCCCAAAGGCCAGCACCAGUGGCAGUCAGUUAGAAGAGCAAAAACGAGGUAAACUGUUUCACUGCCAAAUAGCACUGAAUAAAAGAUUCUUUAUAUGAUGGAACCAUGAGUUAUGGAGGAAGUGAUCAGGAAAGACUAACGAUAAAAAGAAUAGAGAAAAAGCUAGAAGCAGUGGUCCAGGCAACCCCUGAUGGAGGAAGACUGACGACGAGCAAGCUUGGUACGUUUAUUAUAUAGGUUUAAACAUCAAAAGGACUUAUUGUGAGAAAGUUUCUUCAAAGCAAGAAGAGUCAAGGUCAUGAGUAUGAGCAGCCUGAUUAUGAUUAUCAGCUUAUGCCCAUAAUUUCUACCCCUGAGCAGCUGGCAUCUGAACCUCAAGGACAAGAACCGAAUAGCUCCGUGGCUGUACAGAACCUCCUAUUGGGCAGGGCAUCAGCAUAGCAAUUGGGAUACCUAGAUUGGUGCCUUUGCACUGAGAGUUCUUCUGAGGGGCAUCACCUCUGUCAUAGGACAGUUUGGGACCUGUAAUUCAAUCACUGAUCCCAACACUUAAGGUUCUAGAGAUCAAAUCGAGGGCCAUAUGUUUGCUAUGUGUUUUACCACUGAGCUACUUCUUGAUCCUUCCAGGCCCACACAAGAAGCACCCAGAAGUUGCCCAUUGUGGACUCAAAUGACUCAGACAUUUGUAGGGCCAAAAACUAAGAUGGCACCUGGCUAAAUGCCAGUAGAAGGACACUGAAGUUGUUUUGAAACCUCCCUGAUUGGCUUACUUCUCUUCCGUGCUUGUGCACAGCUUGUGCUCUUCAUUAGAAACUAUGGUAUGGGUAUACA